rnacentral:rRNA from 1 species
GACGAACGCUGGCGGCGUGCUUAACACAUGCAAGUCGAACGGAAAGGCCCUGCUUUUGUGGGUUGCUCGAGUGGCGAACGGGUGAGUAACACGUGAGUAACCUGCCCUUGACUUUGGGAUAACUUCAGGAAACUGGGGCUAAUACCGGAUAGGAGCUCCUGCUGCAUGGUGGGGGUUGGAAAGUUUCGGCGGUUGGGGAUGGACUCGCGGCUUUUCAGCUUGUUAGUGGGGUAGUGGCUUACCAAGGCUUUGACGGGUAGCCGGCCUGAGAGGGUGACCGGACACAUUGGGACUGAGAUCAGGACCAGACUUAUACGGGAGGCAGCAGUGGGAGAUAUUGCACAAUGGGCGGAUGCCUGAUGCAGCAACGCCGCGAGCGGGAUGAAGGCCUUCGAGUUGAAAACCGCUUUCGCCGGUGACGAAGCGUGAGUGACGGUAAUGGGUAAAGAAACACCGGCUAAGUAAGUG